AUGGUUUUGGUCAUUCCUCGAUCCUCUCGUUUGAACGAGCUUCUGGGCCGGGUUGGGCUGACGUUAUGCGAAAAGGAGACGGGCCUGACUAGGACUGGGUAUGAGGCCCAGGACCUUAGCCAGGUGACCGAACGGCCUAUCGAGGAGGCUAGCGACGUGCAUGUGAUCGAGUCGAUGAGUUCGACUAGUCCUGCACUUCCUCGUCUGUUUCGUUCGUCCAGGGCGGCUAGGGUCCGCAAGGUUGCUGCGCCUGGCUUCCCUCGGAUUGGUUCUGGAAGGGCUGCACGUGUUCCGCCGGCUGCGGCUAUGGCCGGUCGGGGCGCUGGCCCCCCGCCGAAGCAUUUGAAUGGGACUCCGGCGAUCGGGAUCUCCCACAUGCAAUCGCAGCGUUUGAAUCACUUGUUGGGCUGUGAUGGGCCGGAUCGGAGGGAGCCAAGUUCGCGAGUGGAUGGGCCAGGGUCAGAUGGGUAUGUGGCCCAGUCUGUACCGGACCUGAAUCCUACUCCCCCUCGUAGCAGUCCCUCAUGCGCGAUCGCGAUCGAUCCUUCUCCCCCUCGUGCGUCGUACUCUGUUGGUGCUAGGGUUCCAAGGCGCGGGACUCGCGGCUUCCCGACGUGUGGCUCGGGUCGGGCUAGGAGGAUUCGACCCUUGCUGGCCAUGGCCGGCCGCGGGGCUGCGGCGCCGCCAGCCAAGACGCAAGCCGCCUCUGCUCCAGCAGGUCGGGGCGGGGCUACCCCGCCGCCGGUGGCGGGUGCUGGGCGCGGUGCCCUGGUGCCGCCCGGCCAGAGACCGCCGGCGGGCAGUGGUGCAACUCAGGCCACCCAGGGUCGUGGUAAUGGCCGCUUGGGCGUUCGGCCACCGGGGCAACCUUUGCAAGCUAUGGCCGGUAGGGGCGGGCUGAGGCCGCCGGCGCCAGGUCUGGCUUCCGUGGCGCAGCCGGCCGCGGGUCGGGAUGGCCCUCGCCCUCAGGCGCCGGGCGCGGCUGUUGUGGCUACUGCAGGCCGGGGUGGUGCGGCCCUUGGGGCUGUGCAAACGCCGACAGCCGGUCAGCCUCGUGGCGCGCCUCCGCCUCACUUCGUCGCGAGGCCUACUCACAAACGUUCGGGACAAUCGCAGACGACGCAGAAUUCGAACACUAGAGGCUCCUAUGAUCCGCCACGAGGCCAGUGGGGCGACGAUGGUUAUGAUGUGUAUGGAGAUGGACAACAUCGUGGUUCCUCAUCUACGGGUGGAGGACGUGGUUAUGCCUGGCAGAGUGACGGGUCUGCUGAGAGACCGUUUCUCGGGCCUCCAGGAGGUUUUGUUGAGGGUGCUUCUGGUCCGGAUCACUGCCAGAGAGGGGGUCACCGUGGACAUCGCGGUGGUCGGGGCGGUGGACGCGGGAGGUAUCAUCGCAGACCGCCGCCGCCUUCGACAGUUGUUGACCAAGCGGAGUCAGUACGGAAGACCGAUAACGCUACCGCGGAGCUCCCUCCCCAGGCAAUGGAGGUGGUAGCGGCUUUAGCCAAUGUUGAGGCUCCGGCGACUGGGAGUGUGACUGAGGCUACAGACAGGUCUGAGGCUGAAAGGGUGUCCAAGUGGGCGCGUAAGAAGGAAAGGAUGCUUUGCUACCGUUGUGGUGAGAAGGGCCACUUCAUUGCUGAUUGCGUGGCAGAGCUGUGUGAGUCCUGUGGUAAGCCGGCACAUGCCUCGGGGGACUGCCCAUUGUUGCGUGACCAGGCUCCAUCUUUGACUAUGUAUGGAGUUUAUUGUGCCGAACUUAUGUUCUUUGAGUCCCCGGCUGCGAGAGAGAUUCCGGAGGAGACUUUGAGCUUGACCACCGGGGUUGUCAAAGCUACUCAGGGUGAGGUUUCGGAGGCUCAGAUUGUGCAGAGGCUUCAGGAACUGGCACCGGGAGACUUCCAUUGGGAGCUCGUUCCUCUCGAGGCCAAGGUUUUUAAGGUGGAGUUUCCUUCAGUGGACGAUCUGCAGCGACUGUUGAGUUUUGGUUUAUGCAGAGUUCCUGGCACUAGGUGCAUUCUGGAGUUCCAUGAGUGGCAGCAGGUGGAACCUAAAGGAAAGCCGCUUACGCAGGUCUGGUUGAGGUUUUCGGGGGCUCCAUCUAAGCCUUUGCAGGAUGUUCGAGUCGUGGCCAGUAUGGGCAUUAUGGUUGGCAAGACGGAGAAAGUGGAUAUGGCCUUUACUCGUGCACAUGGAGUGGCACGCAUUUUAGUGAGCAUUUUGGAUAUUGAGUUCGUGCCUGACGUGGUUAACUGGACCUAUAGAGGAGAGGUGUUUCCUCUUGAGAUCGAGUUUGAGGACGCUGCCCUGUUUGCUGACGCAAUGAUUGGGAAUGAUGUUGACAUGCACAGGGGGACAACAUUGCGGGAGCGGAAGGGGCACCGACUGAUGAGUCGACCUGUGAGGGGACUAACGGUUCCCGUCCUGUGGCUCAGUCCGGGGAUGGGACCGGGGUUGAGCCGGCACCUACACCAUCGGUGCCUAUGA
rnacentral:rRNA from 1 species